rnacentral:rRNA from 1 species
GAUGAACGCUGGCGGCGUGCCUAAUACAUGCAAGUCGAGCGAAUGGAUUAAGAGCUUGCUCUUAUGAAGUUAGCGGCGGACGGGUGAGUAACACGUGGGUAACCUGCCCAUAAGACUGGGAUAACUCCGGGAAACCGGGGCUAAUACCGGAUAACAUUUUGAACCGCAUGGUUCGAAAUUGAAAGGCGGCUUCGGCUGUCACUUAUGGAUGGACCCGCGUCGCAUUAGCUAGUUGGUGAGGUAACGGCUCACCAAGGCAACGAUGCGUAGCCGAACUGAGAGGGUGAUCGGCCACAGUGGGACUGAGACACGGCCCAGACGCCUACGGGAGGCAGCAGUAGGGAAUCUUCCGCAAUGGACGAAAGUCUGACGGAGCAACGCCGCGUGAGUGAUGAAGGCUUUCGGGUCGUAAAACUCUGUUGUUAGGGAAGAACAAGUGCUAGUUGAAUAAGCUGGCACCUUGACGGUACCUAACCAGAAAGCCACGGCUAACUACGUGCCAGCCGCCGCAGUAA